ACUCCUACGGGAGGCAGCAGUGGGAAUAUUGGACAAUGGGGAACCCGUAGCAUCCAGCCAUGCCGCGUGUGUGAAGAAGGCCUUCGGGUUGUAAAGCACUUUCAGUGGGGAGGAAGGUUGAUGGUUAAUACUAUCAGCUGUGACGUUACCCACAGAAGAAGCACCGGCUAACUCCGUGCCAGCAGCCGCGGUAAUACGGAGGGUGCAAGCGUUAAUCGG
rnacentral:rRNA from 1 species